GGGGUGCUCGAGUGGCGAACGGGUGAGUAACACGUUAGUAACCUGCCCUUGACUUUGGGAUAACUUCAGGAAACUGGGGCUAAUACCGGAUAGGAGCUCCUGCUGCAUGGUGGGGGUUGGAAAGUUUCGGCGGUUGGGGAUGGACUCGCGGCUUAUCAGCUUGUUGGUGGGGUAAUGGCUUACCAAGGCUUUGACGGGUAGCCGGCCUGAGAGGGUGACCGGCCACAUUGGGACUGAGAUACGGCCCAG
rnacentral:rRNA from 1 species